rnacentral:lncRNA from 1 species
AAUUUAACAAUUGAUGGUAGAAAAAUAUCAAUGAUGACCUUAACAUGUAGGCAAUGCCAUGUUAUACUCUCUAACCUAAGAACUAUUGUGCGGAUAAACAUUCCAAGUCCAUCAGUGCCGGCACACCUUUGAAUCUUCAAGAAUUUGCGUCAUAACCGUUGUGAACGCCAUCGCGGUUCUCCCAGCGUCAGGAUGAACUUGAAGAAAUCAAAUUGUUUCCACUCAUCCCUGCUCUCACAAGACCAUUCGAUUCUAUUCUAUCGUGCGGUUAAUAGUGUUGAUGUAGGCCAAACGGCUGUCAAUCUCCUUAUGGUAUGUCUCAUCUUCAAACCCAAGGAAUAACUCUAUUUCAUGAAUGUUUAUUUAGUCCCAGCACUAACCUGAAGGGCAGACCAUAAAUUGACAUCUUAAAAGGUAAGAAUUGAAUAUAUACGUUCGAGAAGUGUUCAUCUGUACUUAUAUCCCAAUCCCGCGCACCCACAAUAUAUUGGGGGUGUGGGGGUGUUAAUUUGUUACUUGUUGGAUAGAAAGGGAGUGCAUAAGAAUAUUAAUUUAUGACAUUAUCAGCUGGGUUGGGGCUGUUAGUGGUUGGUCAACAAAAUAUAACUCCUCGCGGUUUCCUUACCCUGCAAAAGAUCUUAUCACCUCCCCAAACCUACCUACUUGCCCUUAAAUUUGCAGGUUGCAAUGACAGGUCGGUCUGGCUGGUGGCCCCCCGGAGAAGAGGUUAUUUGGACACAACUAAUUGGAAUUGUUAUCUCCAGAUAUAGAAAGAAUAGAAGUGGUUAUACUAUUGUUAUGCCACUGUUGAGAAUCUACCUACGCGGAGCAUCAUCAUGAGCAUACUUUUGAAUCCUCAUUGAUUUUGGCGAGCUCUUUUGAAUCCGAAAAGACAAAUCUAAUAAAUGUACACUCUUGGCGUUUUUGCUACACUGAAUUGACAAACACUUGAUUUCACAACACAAGAACCUUCCUAGACUUGCUGAAUUUUUGAGAGAUUGAGAGAGAUAGAGAAGAGAGAGAGAGAGAGAGGUUCUGUUGAUAGUUUAUGACUAAUCAGGAAGUGUACUUUCAAUGUCCAAAAGGCACACCACUGGAACCUCUCCACAUAUUAUGGUUAUUACCAUCCAAUUGUUUACAAGUUACAACCAUUAAAGGUGGGACCCCCAUCAUUUAAACUCAGUUUCAAUCCACCCAUUGAAGGUCGGUAUACACGUUAUCUAUACGUGAUCCAACCAACCCAAAUACCAACAAGCCACUAACAUACACAGCAUGUUUGAGUGUGACUUCUAUACGACAGACCAAGGACGUAUUCGUGUACGGACAACCGGUGGCGCCAAAUCAUUUCAACCCCUUCGAACACCCAUCCACAGCUCUUCGUUUCAGGUCCCCUGCCCUGUUCUUUCUUUAUCGGAUUAGUGGUGCUCUCAAACUCUUAUGGAGUGAUGGUCAGCUUCGAUGACGUCAUUUGCCAUACUAACUCAUCUACCUCUGCUACACAUACUCCGCACUUGCCCGCCCCACCUAGCAUCAGAGAAGCGAAUGUCGCUGUGAGGCCAGAUCGGCUUUUAAAGUAGCUGUUUGUGACACUGUGGCGUGGGUAAUUUCGUGACCCGUUUUGCCUUUUUAUGUGCAAUCACUGAAGACGGCAUGGAGCUACCUGGUUAGGGUAAGUAUUUGGUGACCUGCCUAAUAUCCAUAAGCAAGUACAAUAAAUUCUUCAUCCGUAAAAGAAGUUCUCUCUCUCUCUCCCAUUUUUAUUAACCUCCACAAUACUACAUUUUUACCUAUUUAUUUUGGCAUUUGUUGGGUUUACAAUUUUGUUUCUCCAUUUUUUCCCUUCCCCCAGUUUUGAUUAAGAGCACCUUGUGGCCUAUUUUUGAUUUAAAACUUUCAUUUUGCUUGAAUAGGUUUGCCUAUUUGAUUUGAUGCCUUACUCUAAGUAUUUACGAGAUGUUUCAAAGAUCUUGCCUCUAUCAUCGACUGGGGCAGGUCUGUGCACCAUGUCUCUGUGAUUAGUCCCUGAAAACGUUGUAUUGUUAUGACGACGUACCCUGUAUGUAUAGAGAUAUCCAGUUGGCACGAUGUCAAACGUACUGUGCCUCGGGUCUUGUAAUGAAUUCGACUUUUAAUGUCUCUCUCUUAGAUCUUGCUAUAAGUGGGGGCCUUGUGCACAGGGUACGAUUAACAUUUACGCCAGCAUUAGCAUAUAUGUAAUAUUCUCACUUGUUGAUCAGUUGAUCCUUGAAAUUGUGUUCUGUACCAUCCAAAGUAUUACAUUUUCUCUCCACUUAAAAGUAAUGUUAAUUUCACCAGUCUACAAUCAUAGGUCUGGUCUAAUGUCGUGAGCUCAUAAUUUUCUUCAGGUUCAGCCAAAAAGAAUGGUUGGAAUUCUUAUGGAAGUCUUGAGUACAGUUACUUUACGAACACGCAAAAAUGACAGUUUUGCCGGUGCCAGUCCCCCUCCUUCGCCACUGGUGCUGGCCGUCCGCUCCGGUGACCUUCCAUCACCCGUUCUGUCCUUUCUUCCUUCUGGGGGGUGGGCUCGCUCUUUGUUGUCGCACCUUCCAUCACUACCACCUAACCAAACCACACCUCGGAGAGAGGUCGCGGCACCACCAGCCAAUAGCAAUCCCCUUGUGUUUAAGCCACAAAUGGCAACUACAUGACUAACUUUUUUCAAUGUAUUGUUUCUCUACAUCAUUUGACUAGUUUAAAUAACCUUGAUGGAUCAUUUUCUUUGUACAACCAUGUAGGAUGCCAGUACUAACAGACACUCCUGUUAAAACUUUUUUUUAAUUACCCGUAUCCAUCACAAGACCAACUAAAUUCCGGGACCAAUUCCAUGUCCCACUAGCGAUGGUGGGGGUGGGGUGGGGUGGGGAUGCACUUUAUGAAACUAAGAUGCAACUAUCUGUGAAGCAAUGGCCUACGCUAAAUUUAUCAUAUCACAUCUAUCCUAUACUAAUAGCAUAUCCUCAUGAUAAUUAGUUUCUUCUUAAGGUUUAAUUAAUAUUUGACCUUAUUCCCAGAUAUUUGUAUAGCGAAUUACAAAUUGAUUAACUUCUUAGUUAAUUUGGGCUUUGGAAGUGUAAAUAUGUUUUUCCGUUAAAUUAGGAAUAACUUGCCAUGCCAGCAUGCCUAUGGAUUUUUUCUUCACCUAACUCAGGGUUUUUCUUCUUAACAAAUUUCUGCCAGCUGAUUUGACAGUCUAUUCUUGCUUUUUUUGAGCAGCAUUGUUUUCUUGCUUCUUUUUCUGUUGCAAUGCUUGAAUCAUAUCUAAAAGACACAUAAGGUAAAAAAAAACGACAUUUUUUUCAAAAUUAACAUAAUAGGACAACCCACCACCCUAUGAACGACCGAAACAGCUAGUUUAAAAGCCUAUGCCAAACAAUGGGAAUAACUUAGAUUUAUGCGAAUGUUUUGGCUCUCUAUGACCAUUCAAGGAUACAAGUAUAUGUAUUUGGGUCAUACGAGGUAGAAAUAGUCUUCCUUUUCAAUAAUUAAAAUGUCGUUCUCACACGUUUUCUUUUUGCUAUGAUUUUUUAAAACUUAUUUUUCUUUUUUCAUAGCACUAUUUUUUUUGUUUUUUAAUAGGGUGAAGUUAAUCGUUUAUUCAAAUUUGGCCUUAAAAAUUCGGUGUCCAAAAACAAUCUCAACAAUUGAAGACCUUGCCAGAUGUCAUGUAUGUUGACUUUUUCUGGCUUAAUGCACAAAAUGAUUAGUGGGAGCCCAUUAUUCAGUUGUAUGGAAAAUGACAGGACACAUUCUUUGUCUAUUAAUCAAUUCUCCAAUGGUUGAAGGGAAUACUAUAUAUAUGGUUGUCUCUCAUUUGUAAACCAUCACCAAUACUAGUCUUUUGAUGUCUCGUAGAUCCUAAUAUCAAGUUCUGAAACACAUUGUGAAAUUUCGGGGCAACAAAAGUCAUUUGCUGGCAUGGCCAAUUUUUGGCCGAGGCAACUAUGUGCCUUGGCAAUGGUUUUGUACUACUCUUGCCACGGCGGACGAUGAUAUCGUCGCGGUUCUGAAUCUCCAAGCCAUGGCCGGUUCUCAUACAAUUCCCCACCCCGCCCCGUCAUGCCUAUACUACAAGUCUUCCCCCACCACUGUCACCAUCACCACUCCCCCUACUACUACAAUCACCACCAACCACCAUCACCGUCACCCGCCACACCGUAUUUUUUUAACUUUAAAACAAAUACCACCACCACCAUCUCCCUCGCCGCCCCCUCCUCCUAUGUCUACAAUUCUCCACCACCUCCAUCUCCAUCACCUCCCCUCCAUAUCAUGUACAAAUUCACCACCACCAUCACCUCCCAUCUCCUCCACCACCUUAUGUGUUAACAUCCCCACCACCACCAAUCCCCUUCCCCGCCACCGGGGACCUUAUGUUUACAAAUCCCCUCCACCACCGAGGGUCGCCUUCCCCCCACCACCUUAUGCCUAUAAAUCCCCCCUUCCACCUCUUAUGUCUACAAUCUCCACCACCACCAUCACCAUCUCCACCACCUCCCUAUGCCUUACAAGUCCCCACCACCUCCAUACGUAUACAAAUCCCCACCACCACCAUCUCCAUCGCCCCACCACCUUAUUUUACAAAUACCCCUAAACACACCGUCACCCUUUCCCCGCCACACCAUUAUGUUAACAAUCCCCUCCCCCUCCACCACCAUCUCCCUCAACCAUCACCCCCACUCUCCCUCACCCCACCACCUUAUGUCCUAUAAUCCCCUCCUCCACCUCCUCCAUCACCACCCUCCUUCUUAUUUUGUUACAAAUCUCCAAAUCUCCACCACCACCAGUGUCCCAUCUCCCCACCACCUUCCCUCGAUCUACAAGUCCCCACCACCCCCAUCCCUCCACCACCUUAUGUUUACAAAUCCCCCCCCUCACCACCAUCCCCCUCACCGCGCCACCCAUAUGUCCUACAACGCCCACCCUCCUCCUCUCCGUCACCUCCUCAGCCUUAUGUGUACAAAUCUCCCCCAUCACAUCGCCAUCUCCUCCCACACCUCCCUAUGUCCUACCAAGUCCCCACCAUGUCCAUACUAUACAAAGCCCGCACCGCCCACCAUCUCCAUCCCCCCCCCCCCCUCCUCCACCACCUUAUUUUACAAAUCCCCACCACCACCAUCCCCUCCCGCACACCCAACCUAUGUUUUUACAAUCCCCUCCACCACCAUCUCCUUCCACCCCCACCACCUUAUGCCUAUAAAUUCGCCUCCGCCACCUUCUCCAUCACUUCUUCCCUCCUUAAUGUGUAAAAUCUCUCUCCCCCCCCCACCAUCUCCAUCUCCUCCACCACCUUAUUUUAACAAAUCCCCACCACCACCGUCACCUUCCCCGCCACCACCUUAUGUUUACCAAUCCCCCCUCCACCACCCUCUCUCCCCUCACCCACCCCACCACCUUAUGUCUAUAAAUCCCCUCUUUCCACCUCCUCCAUCACCCUCCUCCUCCUUAUGUGUACAAAUCCCCCACCACCAUCGCCAUCGUCCACCAACGUCGCCUAUGUCACAGAUCCCACCACCUCAUCCCCUCCCCCCAUCCACACCUUAUGUUUACAAAUCCCCUCCACCUCCACCCCCAUCUCCACUCACCCACCCCCACCACCAUAUGUCUACAACUCCCCACCCGUCCUCCCCUCCUCCUCCGUCACCCCACCUCCUCCUCCUUAUGUGUACAAAUCCUCCCCACCACCAUUGCCAUCUCCGCUCCCACACCCCUCCCUAAUCUACAAUCCCCACCACCCUCCUCCCCAUCACCACCACCUCCAUACUAUACAAUCCCCACCACUCACCAUCUCCAUCUCCUCCACCACCUUAUGUACAAAUCCCCUCCACCACCAUCUCCUUCCCCCCACCAACCUUAGCAUAAAUCCCCUCACGCCCCCUUCUCCUCACCUCCUCCUCCUUAUAUGUUACAAUCCCCCCACCACCAUCGCCAUCAUCCCCCACCUCCCUAUGUCUAAAGUCCCCACCACCUCCUCUCCAUCUCCCCCCCUCCAUAUUACUACAGCAAAUCUCCAUCCACCACCCUCACCCUCCACCUCCGUGUAGACUACUAACUACUAACACACUCUACAGCUCAGUCUCCACCUCCUCCCCUUGUACUAAGAAUCCAACAUUUCUUUCUCAAAUUUUUAUUAAGUCCAACUUGCAUAUCCUGUGCCUAUCGUAUAACAAACACAAAGAAUUAGGGGUGCUUUUAUUCAGAUGUCUCAUAAUUUUUCUUAUUUUGUUAUUUUUCAUUGUAGGUCACGAUUGUCAGAAAAAAGAAGAAGUGUAACGGCUGGAAAUUAAAAGAGUUUGCUUUUUUGGGGUGCAAUCGAUGAACAUUACAAGUUAGCCUGGUUUGAAAAUAAAGAGGAGUAAAUCAUGUCUUUUGUUCAACUUUUAUUUACGAUGAUUUUGAUACUACAUCCGUGUAGUUUAAAUACAUUUGAUUUGUUUUCCUUAUGUAAUGUUCCUCCAAGUGCUUUUUCUGAUUGUCGCUAAAUUUGAAAUAACAGAAUAUUUCGUGCUAAAAAUGACAUAUUUGUCGUUACUUGCUUCAUUCUCUAUUUGAGUAAUUACUCCUUUGCCAUAUCAAUAGGUUUGAGCACAUAAGCAGCUCAUUAAUGGUGAACAAUUUGAUGAAUGGGGACAGCCGAGAAGAUCUAUUUUACACGACGGCGAAGAGGUUAAAAUUUGAAAAACUAUAGACUAAAAGCUUUGAGAUAAACAUAAGACUAAUGUCACAUGCAUGUUCCUUUCGAAAUUGUGGCAGAUUUAGCUAAAGCAAUCACAAUUCCAUUGAACAAUUGUUGUUUGUACCAAAACUCGAAGCAUGUCGAAAGGGAAGAAACCCCAAUGGAAACUCACCCCUAGAGAUGCAGCAAAGUUGGCAAGAUACCGCAACGUAAUCCCGUUUACCUAUCCGACUGUUAGGUGGGUGAACCGUGCCGGAUCAUCCUUGGAGAAAUUAACUUUUAAUCAAAACAAAAAAUCAUGCUCUGGCUUGUAAUUCUAUACGUUGUUUACUUGCAAACCGGGCAAACAUCCCCCUGCCCACCGAUCACAUAAAAAGCAGCACUCUAUGCAAAAUUGCGACAGUAAUUCUCCAAAGGGUUCGAGUGGGUGUUUGAGGACCCUUUCAAUAGUCAAGAGAGGUUUGGAUUUGUUUAAGUGAGUGUGCGGUCUGGGUAGGAAGUAGAGGCAACAAGGUGGUCAUGAAGUGAGAACUAUUUUGAGUGUGGGCCCUUUAGGGGAUUAGGAUGUGCUGGUUGUGUGUUCCUAGAUGAUCAAAAGGCAACCAUAUAUGUAGUGAGUGGCAUACAACGAAAAUGGGAGGAAGGAAUAGAAUGGAUAAGACGAAGAAGGGGAUGAAUGGCAGUGGCUGGUGGUAUGCGGCAACAACCUUCGGUUUCUUGAAUGAAAGAGGAAAAAAGGGAAGAAUAGUACAGGUUGGGUGGAACUAAGAGGGAGAUGUACUAAGAUAUAUCUAAGCUGUACUGAGAGGUUUUUUAAUUAGGCAAGAUGGUCCCGACCAAAAUAGAUUUCCAUAUCUUUAAUUUUAUUGAAGACUCAUUUAUUAGUAUAUUUUUUAUUAUUAUAAACCGCUAAAGAAUAUUAUCUCCUCAGUUGCUGUUUAUUUACCUUCUUAGCUUUGCACUCAUUUGCUAUUCCGCUCUCUCUCUCUCCCCCCAUUUCUCACAAUAUAUUAUUCCUGUCUUGAUUCAUCUCUUACUAUGUUAUAAGUGUGUUUUUUUCUGGUCUGAUGGCCGAAGAAACGCGUUGGUGGUCGACAAUUAGGUUCUCGCCCAUUUUCUUGCUUGAACUGUUACUUGUUUGGUAAGAUGUCUUAGUGAAACAACUGUCUUUUUUUGGUUUCCUGUUUCUUCUUUGGAACUUGCUUAUAUUUCGAAACAGUUCAAAGGCACGUGAUAAUUGUACGCACGUUAGAUAUUUUCUAUGAUGUUAAUUUAACUUGAGAGAUUUUGUUGGAAUCAUUCUUUUAUGCCGCACACUAUCCCCCGUCUCGUUUCAUGAGCUCUCACCAAAAAAGACCUACAUAAAAAGAGAUAAUAACACAAAUUUACUGGUUCGGGCCAAAAUGUCUACAAUCUAUGGGAAGAGCUUUUACUAAGUAAAGUAAAAUAGAAAUAAAAUUACCAAGAAAUACAACCCCCUCCUUAUCCAUACUCAAGAUACUUGAGUUACUGGCUCAUUCUGAUAUAUCAUAUUAUUUUUACUAUUCUUUAUACUUUCCUUCUACAUCUCUAUUUAAACCCUCACUCAGUUUUUUUCUCACGAGUCGGCAGAGAGUCUUGACCCCGAAGCCCCUUACUAUUAGCUCACCCCCUCACUAUCUCUUCUUCUCUCUCUCCUCCCCUCCUCAUUUUUUCAACACCUACAAAGGGUACAUAUAGGCCCAAAUAUACAAAUUUCUAAGAGCCAUUAACUCUUAAAGGCCAUCAUUGGACCCAAAGCUCCAUUGGGAAGGAGCAGCUGUCUUUGGAAAAAGCACACGGACGGGAAAUGAUAGUCAAUCCCAUUGAAUUCCUGCUUGAAGUUUAAAAGGCCAUUUUUCACAACUUUGAUGGACCCACAAUUUUGUGGUGUUUUUAUGAACUUUUUGUGAUUGAUUACACGUGUUUACCAUAACGAAAUGGAGUUACAAGAUUUUGUGGCUAGUUAGACUUGUGCAACAUACUGAGAUCUUGACUUAUUUGUCCACGAAUAUUUGUUGUGUGAUUUAUUUUUAAUGUUUUUUCAAAUUAAUUGUCGCUGAUUAUAAAGUGUGCAUGAUACACACCACUAAAGGUGUACUAAUUAUUAAUGGGCCUCUCAUUGGAAAGAACUCUAAAAUGAGCUAAGAGUUAACUACUAAUCCUUUCAGCGUAUGUUGUGUUACUGCCAUUUUUUGUACAUAACGUCCUCGAGAAGGUAGGCCCACUAAUUUGAAUAAAGAGUCUAUCCGCCUGCUCAAUAACUUGGUAUUGAUUUCUGAAAUUCCUUUGGACCUCCCCUAAGAGGAAGGCAAGCUAGUCAGUCAACAGUACCUAUCUUAAGAACGGUUUGCUACUUAUCUGAAGACAUAUUUGAAUUGACUUGUUAAUUAACAAAAUUUGAGACAAUUUGGGUAGUUCAAUCUUCUGCACCUGUCUCUGAAUGGCCCUACUGAAAACCUGUAUCCAGUACAGUCUUACUAUGACAGACAGAUGCUAUUGUCUUAGUCUUGUGUGGGGUUUGAAUCAUAGGAACAGCCUCGCCACAAAAUAUUGAGGUUUCUAAUCUAUCUACGCUGAUGUAACGAACUUCCAACAUCGGCAUAAAUGUGAUACUUCCGUCAAAAAAAAUUCACACUUAUAUAGUUUGUUUUAACCAUCUCCAGGUUAGGUUCAAAUUAAUUCUACAUGUCAUCAUCUCAUUAAGCUCAUUAUAGUACCUAAUUAGGUUAGUUUUUUUUCUGGCUCACAAAGAUUCUAAUCGUCACAUUACUCGAAGGCAAGGUCUAUUCUACACUUGCUUUCAAAGACAAUAUGGUUUAUCCUCUAAAAGUCCAUCGAAAAGAAAAAAGAAAAAGAAAAAAUUUCAUUGCAUUCAAAUAAGUGAAUAAACAAAAAAUGCUUAAGCAAGGCAAAGACGAUUAUACAGAUCUCCACUUUAGAUCCCCUAUGAUUCCGAUACCCUUGUUUAAAAUUCAAAAAAUAAAAAUGCAGCCAAAAAUGUCUUCAAAUACAACUCCAAGGGAAUUACUUAUGCUUGUUGAAGUUCAAGCUUAGCAAGCUAAAUCCUCGUUUAGUAGAUUGUUGAACCGGAGGAUGGAACUUGUAACAUUACAAUUGGAGGGACAUUGGCUAUGGAGAUUAAUUAAUACUGGUAUGUGGAGGUGUGACUUAUAAGUAGUAUAGAUUAGGUGGUGAGGAGAUGGGGGUGGAGGGGACUUGUAUUAUGAAUGAUGGGGGACUUCCAUUGGCGCGAGGUGAUUUGUAUAGUAGGGUGCGGUGCGACUUAGAUGGUGGAGGUGGAGACUUGUAUAGUAAGGGGGUGGAGUAACUUAGAGUUGUGGAGGUGGGGAUUUGUCGUAGUACGGAGGUGGAGCGGUGAACCUUCGUUGGAGGAGCGUGAUUUGUAGUAGUAAGGCGUGGUGGUGAUGGAGAUUGGUGGAGUGGAUAUUUGUAGUAAUAUGGUGUGGUGGCGCUUAGCUGUCGAGGCGGGGAUUUUUAUUAAUAUUGAGUGGGAGGGGACUUACUGAGGAGGAGUGAUUUGUAGUAGUAAGGAUGGUGUGGGAUGGGAGAGUGGGGGAGGAAUUUUGUAUUAGUAGGGUUGUGAUGUGACUUAGAUGGUGGAGGUGGAUGUAAUAGUAGGAGGUGGAGGAGGUGACUUCGCUUGGAGGAUGUGGUGGUGAUGGAGAUGGGUGGGGGAGGUAGAUUUGUAGAGUAGGGUGGUGUGGUGACUUAGAUGGUGGAGGUGGGGAUUUGUAAUAGUAAGGAGUGGAGAAGGUGGGAUUUGUAGUAGUACGGAGGUGGUGGUGACUUUGAUGGUGGAGCGGUGAUUUGUAUAGUAUGGUGGAGGUGGGGACUUGUAGUGUAAGAUGGUGCUGCGCACUUAUGUGGAGGUGGCGAUUUGUAGUAUAUGGAGGUGGUGUGAUGGAGAAUGGUGUAGGUUGGGACUUGUAAGAGUAUGGAGGUGUUUGAGAACUUUGAAGGUGGAGGUGGUGAUUUUGUAAAGUAAGGUGGAGGGUUGAUUGUUGAUUGGGGAGGGGGAGGUGACUUUAAGUAGAAGGAGGUGGUGGUGAGGAGAUUGUGAGGCGGAGACUUGUAUAGGUAUGGUGGUGGUGGUGAUGGGGAUGGGGGGUGGGGACUGUAAUAGUAAGGUUUGUGGAGGAGAUGAUGACGUGGUGGUGGAGACUUAUAAUGGUAUGGGGGAAGAGGCGAAGGAUAAUGUGGUGGAGGGAUUUGUAAUAAUAUGGAUGUUGUGGUGAUGGUGGUGUGUUGGGUGGUGGAGGUGACUAUGUAAUAGGUAUGGAGGUUGUGGAGACAGAGUGGGGGGUGGAGAUUUGUAAUUGUAGGGGGGGAGGUGGGGAUUUGUAAUAAUAAGGAGGUGGAGGAGAUGGCGAGGAGGAGGUGGGUGAAUUAGUGGAGUAAUAGGGUGGGAGGUAGGAAUGGAGAUCGGUGGAGGUGGAGAUUGAGAUGGUGGUUGGGGACCUGUAUAGUAAGGUGGGAACCACAAGUGUUUUAAGUGAUGGUGUGCGACGAAGCAUAAACGUAAGUUUAUAAGCAAACCACACUUGUUCUAUCUAGGGCAAGUAACUAGAUGCAUAAACAAAUUGAAAAAGUGGCCAUUGCCUCGGUGUUCCCCCGGGCUUCCCAUUUUCCGGCAACCCCACCCUACUCACUGGAAGGUUUGUUUGAUGCAUGGGAGAUAGAGACUAUGCCUUUAAUACUAAAUCAUAAGGGUGGUACUUGUUCCACUAUAGUAUUUUUUUGUUUAUGAGGCACAACAGGCUGGACUUAAAAUGUAAACAGCACAAAACCCAAGUCUCAAAGCUUGGUUUUCAAUUAUUUGGAGUGCGGUUCCUACUAAGUAUCUAAGUUUUGGUCAAUGAUCUUGGGGGCAGGUAAUGUUGGUCCUACGGCUGGCUUUAUAAUUACUCCCUCUUUUUUUUUUGCUCAAUCAUUCACAAAGCACGUUAUUAGGCAAUAAUGGCAAUUGGUCUGAAGUUUCUUCUUUGCAAUGGUGUCAAGACAGAGGUGGUGAAUUGGACAGAUAAUACAAUUAGAAUAUUUAAUGGGCAGAAUUUGGUGAAAUAUGGUUUAUGUUUGGAAGUAACUUGACCAUAUUUGUUUUUUAUGUUAAGAGAUAUGUAUUCAAUAGCCAUUCAAGACCAACCCACUUGAUAACUCAGUCCUAGUGUACUCUUACAGUCCAACCGUUCAAUGAUUGACUGAGAAAAAUAAAAUAAAAAUAAUUUAUUACGCUUGGACAUUAAAACACUGUAUUUUUUGUUUAAUUUUUCCUCACUAAAAUAAUUAUUAACGUUGUAUUCUCAUCAAGAAUUUAUGAGGAAAUUAAUAAAAAUAAAAAAGUUAACAAUCCAACCAUUCAGAAACAUUACAUUCUCUACCUUUUUUCUCGCUCUCAUUUUUCAUAUCACUCACCAAUUCUUUAAUCCAAACACAACUAGUAUAUAAAACUGAGUUAUCAACUGUACUUAAUGACAAUCCAUUUUAAGUGCUGAUUGAAGUUAUCAAAUGAAUGGCCCGACAAAAAUACAUAAUAUAUUAAUCCUCAUUUCUGAUCCCUUGAUUUUAAAACUGGUUUAUCACUAGACAACAUAAAUAAGCCACAUGCCUAAUAUUUGUUGUCCACCGAUAUAAUACUAAUAUAUACAGGCACAUAUUUUCCAAGCAAUCUAUAAGAGUAAUUUUGUUAAUAUUGAGUUACUUUUGUUUUUUCGGAAAAACAUCUUUUUAUUUGACUUGGUUGCUUUAAGCCUUGGAGAUGUUAUAUCCAUUGAGUUCUUUCAUUGAAAAAAAUCUCAAAAUCCAUCAUGGAUGGAUUAGGACCAUUAUUAGUUAAGAUAGGUCUUUUCAUCAUUGUGUGUAUAAUCCUCAACAGAACAUUGGUGACAACAUUCGGCAAUUUCCAAGUCUAUUUAGUGGGAGGAAACCCUAAACAAUUGAUCCCCUUCUUUUGUGGUGGUUAAAAUGUCCUUUUAAUUUGCUCUUGUCAAGUAAUGGAUAAUGUUUGAGUAUUUAUAUUUAGAUCUAUGUGGGUAUUUAAGGUGGGUGUGACUCACCUCGUAAUUCCGAGAAUUGUGAAUAUGACUUCUAAAACUGUUUCACAUUUAUGGAGUAUGAGGUACAGAUUUUUGUUCACUUUCAUGAAUAUGCUAAAUUUCAACAGUUGAUUCUGAAAUCGUUCACAUUUACGAGUAAAAAAAAAAUUUGUUCACAUUUACGAGUAUGAACGCAAGAGAUUUUGUUAGGCACUUCGAGUUUGAAUAAAGUUUCUAAGAGUUAGGGUCCUAUGUUUAUUUUUUAUUCUCACUUGCGAGUAUAAACAAUUAUUUUUAUUCAUUUCUGUUACAUGAAUAAACGACGAAUGUUCAUCUUUACGAUUAUAGAAUAAAAAAAUAUUUGUUCACACUUACGAGUACAAACAACAACUGUUUAUUGUUCAUCUCUGUAUAUAUGAAUAAAUGACGAGGUAACAAACGUUUUGAAACAUAAAACAAAUAGUUUUGCGACUCAAUUUACUUACCUUUUUCAUGAUAUACUAAUCUGAAAUAUCUAUUUUAAUUGGUUUUAAUAUUAGUUUAUUUUAUCCCCAAACCAGAUUUGAGUGUCUAAUCUACAAAUGUGUUGUUGAUGAGGAUAAUAAAUGAAAGUAUAAAAUUGUGAUGUAGAAUUUAAUUCUUUACACAAGUGGUUGAAAGAUUUACAGUGCUGAUAUUUUAGGGAGAAGAAAGAGGUAGGUUGUGGAUAUACUACAUGGAGUGUACUGAGUUAUAAUCUAGAGGAUUACUUUUUUUAUGUUUCUCCGUAAUAGUAAUUUUAUUUGAGGGUAUAAUUUAAUAUAAAAAUUUAUUUUUGGGUGUCCCGAGACCCCCUUUGGCUUGCAUUUAGAACUCCCGAUAGCAUUGGGUGAUUCUAUUUGGCACCAAAAAAUUCUCUUUAGCCUAUUUUUUAUUUUUAGUAAAUGUUCAUUAAUCAUCCUUUAAAGUUUUUUGAACAAAUCUAAUAUGCACAUUACUAUUUUUAAAAUCACUAAUCUCUCUUAUUUUAAAAUUAUGUCAAUAUUAUUUGGAGGGCUCAUUUAUUGAGAAAAAUACCAAGAUUGUCCUUAUUAUUUUUUUUAUUUUUUUUUUUCUCAAGCUUGGCCUUUGUUUUGUAAUGAAUUUGUCGAUAAUAUAUUUUUUUUUAAGCUACGCUUUGAUUAUGAAUACUUAAAAAUAAUAAUUUAGAUCAUUUUGUUGUAAAGGAAUUACUAUUGAUAAAGAAAAUAGAGGAAUUUACAAAUAAUGGCCGUUUUGAGAAAAAAUAAGAAUGUUUAUUUAUUUUGAAUUGGUAUAAUAAAAAAAAUUAAAAUAUUAAAUUAAGGGCAAUCUUGUCCAUUUUGUCAAAAAUUGACUCCAAUUAAAAAAUAUAUUAUAAUAGUUUUAAAACUGUAGCAAGAGUGCCUAUAAUUAUCAAAAAUUUUAGGAAAGAUGGAGUGAAAUUUAUCCAAAAUUAAAGUGGCCGCAACCGCAAAAUUUUUUAUUUGUGGGUCCAAAAUAGAAACACCCGUAGCCACAUUGCAAUCACCAAAAAGACUAAAGUGACAAUUUUGCCCUUAUAAUCCUCUGUCUCUCUGCUUCCGCUUCUACGUCGUUCACAUUCUCACACCAAUACCCGACCAAAACCAUAGCACCCCACGGUCCCGUCCCCACCCCCACCCCCCCCCAGAGGCGGAUAUUUAGGCCCAGGGGGUCAGUUACCAACCCCUCACGUUUGAAAAAAAAAAAAAUUUUUUCUAUAUUCUAAGAAAAAAUUUUAAUAUCCUCCCCUCCAAAUUAUAAAUGCCGGGCCCCCUCAAACAAUUUUUUUCAACCGUUUACCCGCCUGAAAUUUUUCUGGCUCCGCCAAACUCAAGCUAUGUGGACAAUUGCCACACCACCACAAUCAACCACCUUUUUUUUUUUUUUUUUUUAUGGCCAACCACCAUUUCAUUUUUAUCUACUCAAUCGACCAUUCAGUCCACCUUCUUCUUCUCUCUCCUUUCUUCAUUGUUGCUACUCUUCCUUAUGUGUUAUUCCUUUUUGAACACCCAAACUCAGAGGCGAGCCAAUGAAGGCCGGGGGGGUCACGGCCCCCGCAAAAAAAACCCCAGAAACCCCCCCCCCUCAAGUUUGGGAAAACAAAAUUUUUUUGCCUAUUUUAGGAAAAAAAUUUCAAUUUGCCCCUCCUCAAAAUUAUAAAUGCCACCCCCCAAAAAAAAUUUCAACAAUUGGCCCCCCUGAAAAUUUUUCCAGGCUCCGCACUGCCCAAACUCUUCUCUCUCACUAAACCCUCUACUACUCGUUUGAUUCGUUUGAGUACCCAUCGUUUGAUCACUUUCCGAACAAUUAAUCAAUGGUCCACGACCAUUAUUAUCCCUACCACUACUCAAUCAACCUAAUUAAUUGAGUCCAAAUCUCCAUUUCCCCCACCAGUGCCCAUACCGCCCACAAUACGAUGAAAACCAUUUCCACGUAAACCGCGACGGAUGGGUGAGAGUUAAACCCAUAUACAGAUAAAACCCAUCCCUAACAUGGAUGGUCAUGACAACGGCAGUCACAAUUGGUUUAUGAUAAUGACAAUAGUUAUGAAAAUGGUGAGCGACAUGGAAGUAGCAGGGCAACGCUGAUUCAGUGGUGUUGAGUGUGGAUUGGUUGAUGUAGGUGUGGACUCCUCAUUGACCAUUGCAUUGAUGUGGUGGCUGCGGGUCCCUGUGGAAUGGUAACUAGCGGAUGGUAUUGGGUGGCCGAGAAUUUGAUUGGGAUUGUUUUAGGGCCGCAUCUCUACUUUCCAUUUACCUAAAAACAAAAUUAUUGACAAGUAUAUUAAGAACAAUCACUUUCAGAGAGUUUAAAAUAAAGAAAAUAAGUGAGUCAUAGUUGUGCCACCUAGAAGGCCGCAGAGUGCAGUCGUAACGUGACCGCAACAACGCCAACAGCCAACUCCAAUCCAGUACUUCGAAAUUUUGGAGACUUACAAGGUCUGUCCAUGGGACCAUUGGGCACUGCUUGGUAAUCGCUUCUUAGGGCGUACACAGAUUGACCAUAAGAAGCUAGCAGAGAAGAUCAGAGCAAAUCCUUUACUACGCACAGAACCUAGAAUCCACAUGAAGUGUAAACCUUUCCAUUCCUGAUAACACCUUCCUGUAAUUAGAUCGCGUGAAGUCCAAAAAUGUGUGUGUGGUGUGUGUUUGUGUUGUGUGAGAGAGAGAGAGAUAGAGAGAGAGAGAGAGGCAUCAGGCCUACAAACAGCUUAGAAAUCAGAUUUAUGCAGCAGAGCAUCAAAGAGAUCCAACCAAGGGGCGUUGUGGUUAAAUGGGCGGUUGGCCACAACUAAGAACUUGACCCCGGCUAGUUCCACUUUAAAUUGGGCCCCCGUAAUAGACAGGGGAUUCCGAGUUAGUAGAUCAUUUGGACGGAUACCGAGUUAUAAAAAAAGAAAUCAAAGGAGAUUCACCAAAUGCAAUGGUGUAGAGUAGAAUUAGAGAAACCAAUAAUUUAUCAGAAUAUUAGAAUUAUCCGUGCCGCAUAAUGUAGACUCUACAAUUAUCGAUAUUCAGAUAACAAAAAUUCUGUGAAAAAUCAAUGUUUGGGAGAUAAACCCACUCUCCUAAAAUGUUAUUCAAAAUACGUAAAAUUGAGCUGGAUGAACCUGCCAAAAACUUGGCUGCCAAAAAAGAUUUUCAUCACCAUCUAUGACUAAAAAAGGGGCGAAGUAUCAUCAAUGACCGAAAUUAGCCCCCACCAGACCGUUACUUCUUCCAAACACAAUCAUCUGAAGUGUCGUAACCGGCAAAGAAACACCAGCACCAGCAACUGCACGAAAGAUAUUAGCACCAGCACCCUUGAACAAUGAUGUGGGACCCUCGUUCUUAAGGAUCUGAGAGAAAUGCAUCGCGCGAGCUCUUGUUACUUCACAGAUUCACCGAAGUCCAAUCUCAUUCUUUGAGGACAGUGUCUAUUGGUAUGAAGCACAAGGCCAGCCACCAUUUGUGAUGACCCAACCCAGAGCCAAAGCUACGCCAAAGACACUAUCCUGAAAUCAUCAAACCAAGAUGGGGGGUUUGGGGGAGUGAACUUAGCCUUAAAUUAAACUUCAAAAAUAACCCUGUAACAGUGAACUAGUUAUCUUUAAUGAGGACAGUCUUUUCCACCACUACAAGUGAAUUGAAGAAAACAUAUUUAGAUAGCCCUUAAGAACAUAAGCACCAAGGUGGAAUAUCAAUAAUAAACCAAACCCAAGUAAAUUAAUAAAGUAUAGAUACUUCGGCGAAAAAAUUCAAUAUCUGAGACAUACAAAACUAAUGCUGUAGUAUAUUCCACAAUAUGGGGAAUUUAGCAAUCCUUUCUCAUUGGAGAUACUUCACUUGAAUCAACAUUGAAAUGCAUUAAGAAUGUUAAUUCCAUUGAGUCAUGUAUGCCAACUAGAAGAAGGUAUCUGUAGCUGGUACAUAUUUUGCUGGAUAAAAGUUUUCAACUCCCAACAGUAAAAUCCAUACCUAAUGUUACAUCAACAGUUAAAAAUUUGAAAGAGAAUGUUCUCAAGCAAGUGGUUAAAUGAGGGCCAAAACAUUGACGAUAGUAAUAAACUUUAACACAAAAACGGUUAAAAAAUAAAUCAACUAAACUGCAUUUUUCCAGGUGAGGGACCACUGGCUUCAAAGAGUUCGUACAACCAAAGUACAAGCCACGGUAUUACAAUGAUGCCAACACAUGAAAUGUUGAAUCCACGGUAAAGACCGGCCAAUACCUCGGCAUUUGCAUUGUCUUCUGUAGACAUCGAUCAAUCCAUUGAACUGCCUCUCUCCUCCCUUCUUGCAGGCCUUGGCAUCAUUAGCAAGACGAGUCGAGCAUAAAUCCAAGAGGAAUAGACCAAAAAAAGUAGGGAAAAGGAAGCACCAGCAGCACCACCAGAUGCCAGGGUUACCAGCAAACCAAUUUCAGUAGCCAUCACCGGUCUUUCUGAAAGUUGCAAAAGCCUCUAAAGUAAUCCUUGAAUGCAUAGUUCAGGCCUGCAGAAGGAUUCAGUCCAUAAUGAGCAUAGAAUACAAGGAAAGUAAAAUGAUUGCAUAUGCAUGUUCCACUUAUGUCAUAUGUAAAACUGAGGCAUGCUUAGAGAGGAGCCAUAUCCAACCUGAGGUGGGAAAAUAACGGAAACAUUAGCAGUGUUCCCUCUCCACAAAGUACGAAUCAUUCAUCCGCAAAUAGGUCCGCUUGAAAACAAUCUCCAAUCCCCUGUAGGGUUCAGAAAGCCGACCAGGACUUGAUCAUCUAUCUGGUUUUGUGAUUUUAAAAGCUUCACACGCUCGAAAAAAUUUGCGAGCCCCCAGCUGCAGUUUUUUCGCAAUGCAGCUGAAAAAACUCCACCAUAGAAAAUCAAUGGCGAAUCCUGUAAAGGCCUUUCUCUGAGGGAGUUGAACAAAAACAGGAGAAGCAUGGCCAGCUACAAAUGAUAGAUCAGGGUGUAGCUUGCAUGUUGUGUGUCGGAUAAUGCAAUGCAGCACUAGAGUGAUUCCCAUAUGAAAAUAGGUCUCUGGUAAAGAUGGGUGUCUGAUAGCCACCAUAGCCAUUGAGAAUUGGACCUGAGAUGUAGCUGGCCAGUACCUUCUGUCGACGGUUGGGUGCUGUGCUGGUUCUGAUCGGUCAUUAUGCCUUGCAAAUGAGAACCCCUUGAAGAUUUUCAUGCAAAACAUUUGUUAUUAAAGUAUCUAUUAAGCAAACUCAAUCCCAUGUGCAGUCUGUUAUCAAGAACAUAAAAUAAUCUCAAUUUACACAAGCAUAGGUAGACCUAUAAUUGAGGUCAGGGAGAAAUACCAAACUUGUGUCCAGAUUAUCUAAGAAGAUCAAAACUUCACACCAGCCAUACAACUAUUACAAGUAGAAGAACAAUCAUAAUAGAUUAACAAGAUUUUUAUACAGUAGCAGAGCACUCGAGAACAAGAUACAAUAUCCCACCACACGUUGCAAUUUAGCAAAAAACUCAGUGUUAGACAUAAAAGAGGACUCAUGACAGAGUAAUUAAUUAGUUCCAAACAUCAUACGCUGGUCAAUCAACUUAAAGAAUAUACAAUCAUUUCUUUCUCUCAAGAUGGAAACUAAUUGACUUGGAAACCUCAUGGGAAGAUGAUUCCACAACCAAAUUGAGAAAAUUGAAAAUCUAAGACUUUAGAUAAAAAAAAAAACAACAUAUAAACUGUACAACAACAAUCAGGCGUGAUCCAUCUAUAUGUUAACCUACCAGGUCCAGAGACACAAAGAGGACAAUGGUCCCCAAGAUGGCAACACGGUCAACUAGGAAAAAGACUACCAAGAUGACGAUAGGUGACAAAAUGGGCAACCAGCCCAGUAACAGUAAGUACCAAAAUGUCCAGUCCAAUAGCAAAACACCAUUGUCCGUAAAACCGAAAUAAACAGAAUGAUUAUUCAAGAAAAUAGAAUGCCCAAAACCAGAUUUUCCGUCAAGUAAGAUUACAACAACAGAUCUAGUAAAAAUAAACAUAUAACCAAUUACGGACUUUACACACAAACACAAACAAACAAAACCCAUAUUUGAAACAGAAUCACAGAUUCAGACACAUGAAACACAAUGAUACCGGUAGAUCACCCUAAUUCAAAUCCAAAAAACGUGGUUUCCUCAGAUCUAACGACAGAGAAAAUAUGGAAACUAUAUGCAUACAUGGAUGUAUGCAGGCAAAUAACAAACAGACAGAGAGACAUACGCUUAACGAGCUAAAUGCGUAAAACGAAAGCAAAUAUGAAAAAAAGUUGACAACACAAUUAACUAAACCAAAAGAGAACGGAUCUAAGAGAAACAAAUUCGAAAAUACAGAGAUCUGAAACCCUAAGAAAGAAUUGCGCACAAAAAAAAAAAAUCCAGUAAAUUAGAUCCAAAGCAACUUACACCUCCAAUCCAGACCGAAAGAACUAGUUUGAGAGAGAAGAGAGAGAGGAGUACCUGUGCUCUGGAGUUCUGGAUCGCCCCGGAUAUGAAGACGGAGAGAGACAGGGAGUGAAUGGACAAAUGGUGGGGAAGCAUAUAAAGCACGGACGUAUUAUGGAUUGGGUCGAUGGCGUUAUGGCUGUCGAUUGGUCUAAGAUACGUUUGGAAUGGUGGACCGGUAGCGAAGAGGGGGGGUAACGGAAUUGGGGUUUUGGGGGGGGUUUGGACGCUGGGGUGUGUGUACUGGUUCGAAAGGGAAUGGGAAAUGCACAUUUCCUCUUCCAUCCUAAUUGGAAUCCUCUUUUGCCUUGGGCUC